rnacentral:rRNA from 1 species
AUUGAAAGAUAGCGGGAUGCUGUACACAUGCAAGUCGAACGAGUGGCGGACGGGUUCGUAAUAUAUCAGAACGUGCCCAGUAGCGGGGGCAAACUACUAGAAAGAGUGGCUAAUACCGCAUACUAUAGUAGCGGCCGAUAUCGGAUUAGCUAGUCGGUGGGGUAAAGGCUCACCAAGGAAACGAUCCGUAGCUGGUUUGAGAGGACGACCAGCCACACUGGGACUGAGACACGGCCCAGACUCCUACGUGAGGCAGCAGUGGGGAAUUGUGGACAAUGGGGGAAACCCUGAUCCAGCCAUCCCGCGUGUAUGAGAAGGCCUUCGGGUUGUAAAGUACUUUUGGCAGAGAAGCGGUAUCUGCAGAAUAAGCACCGGCUAACUACGUGCCAGCAGCCGCGGUAAUUC